rnacentral:misc_RNA from 1 species
AUAGCUUGAAACCUUUGCUUC